UACGAAGGGUGCAAGCGUUACUCGGAAUUACUGGGCGUAAAGCGUGCGUAGGUGGUUUUUUAAGUCCGUUGUGAAAGCCCCGGGCUCAACCUGGGAAUGGCGAUGGAUACUGGCGAGCUAGAGUGUGUCAGAGGAUGGUGGAAUUCCCGGUGUAGCGGUGAAAUGCGUAGAGAUCGGGAGGAACAUCAGUGGCGAAGGCGGCCAUCUGGGACAACACUGACGCUGAAGCACGAAAGCGUGGGGAGCAAACAGG
rnacentral:rRNA from 1 species